rnacentral:rRNA from 1 species
UUGGAUGAGUGGCGAACGGGUGAGUAACACGUGAGUAACCUGCCCCCUUCUUUGGGAUAACGGUCGGAAACGGCUGCUAAUGCCGGGUAUUCACUGUCCUUCGCAUGGGGGGUGGUGGAAAGGUUUCUUCGUGGUGGGGGAUGGGCUCGCGGCCUAUCAGCUUGUUGGUGGGGUGAUGGCUUACCAAGGCUUUUGACGGGUAACCGGCCUGAGAGGGUGACCGGUCACAUUGGGACUGAGAUACGGCCCAGACUCCUACGGGAGGCAGCAGUGGGGAAUAUUGCACAAUGGGCGAAAGCCUGAUGCAGCGACGCCGCGUGAGGGAUGACGGCCUUCGGGUUGUAAACCUCUUUCGCUCAUGGUCAAGCCGCAACAGUGGUUGUGGUGAGGGUAGUGGGUAAAGAAGCACCGGCUAACUACGUGCCAGCAGCCGCGGUAAUACGUAGGGUGCGAGCGUUGUCCGGAAUUAUUGGGCGUAAAGGGCUUGUAGGCGGUUUGUCGCGUCUGCCGUGAAAUCCUCUGGCUUAACUGGGGGCGUGCGGUGGGUACGGGCAGGCUUGAGUGCGGUAGGGGAGACUGGAACUCCUGGUGUAGCGGUGGAAUGCGCAGAUAUCAGGAAGAA